CUCGGGUCCAUCAGUCACACAAAGCUGGGUCAUCCCACAAAGCAGCUGGCUGAGGGUCAGCCGCUUUGUUCUUUAAGCCCUCGUGUACUGUGCCUCCAGGGAACCCAUCUUGCCGGGAUUCCUCUGGGCUCUGUACUUCUCCAUGGCUCCCUGAACAGCUCCUCUCGCUUGUCUUGAUCAAAAUUCUGUAUACACGGUGCUCUCUGUUCAACCUUUCAAUGGUGCUUUUAUACGAUGCUGGAUAAAUAGGUUCAAUGUGCUUUCUGAAAGCUGACAUGUAAAGUUGUGACACAGAGUGUUCUCUCUAGCAUUUUCUACUUCACAGAAUUUAGUGUUAACUGUGUUGCUCUGCAAAUGGCUGUCAGUGCUUCCCUGUUUCUUGCUCUCUCUGCGCAAAACUGUCACGCAUAGCAAGCCCAGGUUGGGUGGCAGAGUUCAAAAGCAGCCACCCAAGUGGAGUGCCUUGGCCUGAGAGCAGUUAGACAUGUGGCAGUGUGCAGUGUGGAGCUGGAAGCAACACGGAUCCCAGCUGAAGGGCUUUCUUCUCUCAGUGUGUAUAUAAAUUCAUUUGCACAAUAACUAUAAGAAAUCUAUUUCAGCAACAAACAACUUAAUUUGGACCAAAUGCCAAACAGGGAUUUCUGCUCUUUGGUACUUAAUAGCAGUUAUUUCAGAACAGUGUUAUUUAUUUAGGUUGGAACAUGCCUUAAUAAGGCUGGUGUAUGCUUCACAAGUAACGUGGUGUGUGUGUAAUCUAUUGAGAAUUAGAAUGCUGAAAGGUAUUCGAUCUGAUGGCUGCUUCUGAGGUGGCAUGCUGAAGACUUCCAAAAGCAAAUCUCUUCCUUGGGAGCAGGGUGCGUAAUUGCGAUUAAUAUGUCUUUGUACGCUUGUGCUGAAGUUGAUUUGCGGCAUCUCUUUUGGGAUGGUCAAGGCUGAAGACAUUGCCAGGACAUAUCUCAGCCUCAAAAAAAAAAUAAUAAUAAACAAGCAAACAACAGAAGAGUAUUUUUAUAUCCCUUGCUACUCAGCCAGAUAUCAACUUGUUGAGGAUUAUGCUGAGAACAGGCACUGUGGAUGGAGCAUCACAGAGAUGAAAGCAGUGGGUUCCUUUUCUUCAAGGAGAGAGAACCCCAUUUGGUUGAGUGAAUAUGAAAGAUCCCAUGCUCAGCAUUCACAUACCCUCAACAAAAAGUAUUAAAUUAAUUGCCUACUUCCCAUCGAUUGCAUUAGGAUAUCAUGUACCCUACACUGCUCUUCCAUAUGGGCAAUGGAAGGAUGAAAGCUUUUUUCUGAUGCAAAGUUCUUGUUGUUGACUUGAUUAAACUUACUUUAUGUGUAAGCCAUAGAUCAGCAAGAGAGAGUCUUCACGACAUAGAUAUAUUUCACCUAACUCUAUAUGGUUAGUUAUAGAGUUAGAGUAUAGUUAUAGAGUAGGCAGAAUUACUAGAACACCUUCAUGGUCUACAUUUGCUUUGACCUGCUCAUAUAUCUAGCUUGGGCACUACCAUUUGCUUAGUAAAUGUAUGGAUGAUCAUUGUAUUAUGUAUCCAUUGGCUUGCCCGAUGUAUGGACAACAUAAAUCUUACCAUUCUGAUUUGUCAAGCUGUGAGGUUUGGUUUCUGGAAGUCUUCAGUUUCAAACUGGCCAGAAGGACAGUCACAUGAUGGGGCUUUUGUCAACCUAUUGUAGUGGAUGGUGUCCCUGCCCACGGGGGGGGGGCUUGGAACGAGGUGGUCUUUAAGGGCCCUUCCAAACCAAACCAUUCUGUCAUUCCGUGAUAGCAAAGUGCUGAAAAAUAAAGAUGUUUCUGUAAAGAUGCUUGCUGUUAACUGCACAGCUGCUUGUCAACUGUAUGUGCUACUCCUUUGCUGCACACAUUUCUAAAUAUCAGCUUUCGUUUGUGAUGUUUGUUCAUUGUUAUAAAAACAGUCUGAUAGAUUUUCAUCAUCUAAUUUUAACUAGAAUAUUUGUUAUACAAAAUAUAAAAUGAGAUCUUUGUUCAGCCUAAAAGGCAGCUAUGUAAUUUCUUACAGUUUAUGACAAUGAAUCAACAUGCUUAGUGUAUUUACAGAGUACAUAAGUAAGAUGUGACUUUAAAAUGCUUUGUUUUGGAUUUCAGAAUGCCUCCCUUUCACUUCAUGAUAAUGUUACCAACUUUGUAAUUUUCAUCUCAUAACACUGGAGAGGAGUUUUAAAACCUUACAAAUCUUGUUACUUUAAAACAGAAGAAGAGCACUGGUGUUUAGCCUUCCUAACGUGUACGAAGAGAUGCUCAUAUUUUAACUUUCAGCAUAGUUUGGAUUUUAUUUAUAUAACUGCUCCUCGCAGCCAUGCUUAACUGUCUCUGUCUCAGUUUUCUCUUUUGUCCUUGAUGAAAUACGGUACCUGGCCACUGUCCAGUGGACACAGAGGCUGCGUUGCUUCACAGUACUGCGUGGGAUCUUCCUGAUGUGCCACUGGGAUGUAGAAGCCUGGACUUGCGCUCUGAAGUCAUGCAUUUUGGGGCAACCACAUCCUGUUUUGCAGACUUCUGUGGAGGUCUUCACUUUCUUUCAAGUUCUGCAGAAGUUCUGCAGCUUGCGAGCACUCAGCUGAUGUGUAAAGAUGUACAGUAAGAGGUGAAUUAGUACAGUGUUUAAAUAUAUUAGUAAAAAAUACCUAAGAGCACAAUAACCUCCUUUCUCACCUAUGUGAGGACAAUAGAACUUGGUUUUUACCUCUGAAUCUACUGGAGAAUGGUCACAGAACAAGGCUCCUCUGGAUAUCCUACCGACAGGCAGUUCCAUACAGCUAUUUCUGACUGUGAAUGAGCAUCUGGAUCACCCCCGUGGCUCCCCAUGUACCACCUUUGUGCUUUCCAGUAGGCCUGUGGUGAUGACACCUGAGGAGUGAUGACAACUCUGUGGUGAUGACAAGGAAGAAUGGUCCUUGGCUUCACAGGCCUGAGCCUUGGAGCUGAACACGUGCUCAGAGUGAGCCUGCAAACCCAGGGAAGGGCAUUUACUUUGCAGGGCAGAGCAGGUAUAUCCUGCUGUAGCAGCCUGGAAGAAAGAGGUCAAAGGAAAAAUAGCUGAGCGUCUUUUGUGCUGCACCCAUCUGACAGACAACCUAUUCAUAAAGGUAGAAGAGAUUGCAGUGAAGUUGCCGAGAAUCGCACGAGGGAUGGGUGGAAUUGCCCUCUCAGUAUUCCCCCAACGCAGAGGCAGGGUCAGGUCCUCUGUGCCCCACCUCCACGCAGGUCUCCUGAUCUUUUAUCAAGCCUCCAGGCAGCAUAAAUGAAACGAAAAUAAGGUGUAUGUGCACAUGGUUUUGUCCCAUGAUAAUCCCCAAAUGGGCAAAUGUAGGCGCACUCAUCUGUAAGUACCAUCAACCAUGUGCAGAUUUGGACUUCCAUAGAUGCUUUUUUAGCAAAAAAAAAUUGAAAACUGGAUGACUUCACUGCAAAAUAAUUAUUUGUAUGAGAUGAGGGUGCAGGAUUAGACCCUACAAGUUUAGGAGAUGUUUGGUUUGGUGCUAGGUACUUUGCUUUGUCUUUGCAGUGAAAUGAAUUUUCUCUGUGGACUGAUAUGACCUCCAUAGGAACAACAGAAAACACAGAGUUUGGUGUGCGGAUAUUUAUCUCCAAUAGCUGUUACUAAAAACCCGCCUCAGUAGAAUUCACUUUAAAUUGGGUGCUAGAGGAGCUUCAGCACAAAAUGUAUGGAACAUUGCCUACUUAGAACAUAGUGGAUAAGUAUUUGUAAUUACAGACACUUGUUUAUUUUAACCAUUGUUUUAUAAUGGAAAAAGUAUUUAUUAGUAGAGUGGUUUUCUAGCAAUAUUCUCUCAAGGAAAGUUCUAGCAGCAGAUUGUGCUUUCAGGACAGCUGUUUGAUUUUCUGGUCACUGAAGAAGAACUUCAGACAUCCUCUAACCAGCAUGACCUUCUGAACAGAGAGGAUUAGGUCUGGCUCUGGCUCUCACAGAGCAGAUACGGUUAAAUAAGCUGUGCAGUUCAGCUCUGAGGGUAGCAAGAGCAGUUCAAAGAAAUGACUGUAAUAUAUAAACCUGGAGUCAGUGCAUGCGGACUUCCAAGCUGGCACUGCUGAGCCUUGUUUGCUAUACGAUUGGUUAUUUGGCUUGCUACCUUUUUGAAAUCAAUACGGUUUUAUUAACAGCACUGCAGACACCAAAAUGCUGUAGUAUUGCAGAAUGUAUGCUCCAUAAAUUGUAGCUUGACUGUAAUUGCAGGGCUUAUGCUACUGUCAGAGCAGCUCAGAGCCAACACUAAGUUGCAUUUUGUAAAGUGAUAAAUGCCGUGACGUUCCCUUCAGUGUUCUGUAGGAGUAUACACAAGUUGAUGUAAUUUAGUCAUACCCUUAUUCAAAGAAUCUUCAUCUGAUAUUUCUAGCCAGCCCAGCUUUUGGCUGCUGAAAGCACAGUAGGUUAUUAUGGUUAUUUACAGUAAACGUAGAUGAGUUUUAUGUAAAUAUGUCAGGAGAAAAAAAUCUGUUACUUAAACGUAUGAGGCCGUUAUCUAAAAGUCACAACGUAGGUCAAUGAUAUAAAAUGCAGCUUUCAUUUAUGUACAGCAGUAUCCGAAUAUUUGCUUCUUUACCUAAGAUUCUGGACUGCAUUCUCUGGAAGCAUUUCAAACUGGCUCUGCUAUUUUCUCCGGUUAAUGUAUUUGCAAAUGCCUUUUGAAUUGAUUGGAAAUCUCUGUCAAUUAUGUCGAAUGAGAAAUGCUACACUGCAGUGAAAUCAGUUGGAUUAAAAAAUCUUGGGAAAACACAUUGGUUGAAACCUAUAUAAAAACCUACAUAGAAAUCCAGUCACCAGAUGGAAUAAAACACAAUAAAUAA
ensembl:lncRNA